rnacentral:rRNA from 1 species
UACGUAGGGGGCAAGCGUUGUCCGGAAUCAUUGGGCGUAAAGAGCGUGUAGGCGGCUUGGUAAGUCCGCUGUGAAAGUCCAGGGCUCAACCCUGGAAAGCCGGUGGAAACUGUCAAGCUUGAGUCCGGAAGAGGCGAGUGGAAUUCCUGGUGUAGCGGUGAAAUGCGCAGAGUAUCAGGAGGAACACCGGUGGCGAAGGCGGGUCUCUGGGCCGAUGACUGACGUGAGGAGCGAAAGCGUGGGGAGCGAACAGG